rnacentral:tRNA from 2 species
CAAAGUGUAGCUUAUCCAAAGCACCUGGCCUACACCCAGAAGAUUCCAUACAACCAUGGCCACUUUGA